rnacentral:rRNA from 1 species
GGAUUCCCUCAGUAAGGGCGACUGAAACGGGAAGAGCCCAGCGCAAAGCCUCGCGCUCCGAUAUCUAAGGGCGUGAGGGGUGCUGCGUUCGGGAGAGGUCCUGCACGCGCUUCCGCACCGCCUAAGUUGUACAUGAAUGACUCUCAUACCCAGGGAGGGUGUUAGGCCCGUGUGGCGGUAUGCAGCCCCUGCGCGCAAGCGCGGGGGAAGGUACGGAAGUGCGGAACGGGCCCCUCCUUAGAGUCGGGUUGCCUGAAACCGCAACCUAAAGUAGGUGGUAAACUCCAUCUAAGGCUAAAUAUGACCACGAGACCGAUAGCGAACAAGUACCGUGAGGGAAAGUUGAAACAGAACCCUGUAGAGAGAGUUCAAGAGAACGUGAAACCGUUAAGAGGCUAAACGGGUGGAGAUUCGAAGAUCGAACUUGGGGGAUUCAGGCUGUCGGUAGCCGGGAGGGGGUUCGGGCGCUGGGUCGUGGGCUUGCGGUCCGCCGUGGUCCGCGGCCCUACUCGACCUUCCGACUGUCGUCCGCUCUUGUGGCGGGCGCGACCGGAGGGCGUGGCCCGUCCCUUAACCCUGGUGCCGGCGGGCGAUCUUCCCCCUGUAGUAGGUCGCCGCGAUGCGUUGGGAGGGCGUCUUGAGGCCCGGGUGGCAGGAACCGACGACGAAGCUCUCCCUUCCUCUCUCGGGAGGUUUGGGUUUGCGGAGGCGUCCGGGGAUCCCCUGGUGUCCUUGUCUUGCUCUCCCGACGAUCUCUCCUUGGGGCUCUCGGCGUUUCGGCGCCGUCUGCCUUCGCGGCGUGUAAAGUAUCGAUGCUCUACCCGACCCGUCUUGAAACACGGACCAAGGAGUCCAACAUGUAUGCGAGUCAAUGGGCGCACUAAACCCACAGGCGCAAUGAAAGUGAUACACUGGCUCCCCGCAAGGGGGGCGGGGCCGAUCCCUCGAGACGUGGCGGCCGAGUGCCCGGCCGGAGUGACCGCUUUUCCUCCUCGGGCGCCCGGCUUUUAGUCCGUCCCGCACGCCUCCUCUCGUCCUCGCUGGCGGGAGGAGGGGGGCGCAGGUCCGGGACUCGCCAGGACGAACGGCGAAGGCGGCGGGUCAAACCGCCGUCAGUAGUCGGAUGUGUCGGCGAGUACCUUGAGCAUAAAUGUUGGUACCCGAAAGAUAGUGAACUAUGCCUGGCCAGGAUGAAGCCAGGGGAAACCCUGGUGGAAGUCCGCAGCGAUUCUGACGUGCAAAUCGAUCGUCGGAGCUGGGUAUAGGGGCGAAAGACCAAUCGAACUAUCUAGUAGCUGGUUCCCUCCGAAGUUUCCCUCAGGAUAGCUGGCACUCGCUAAAGACGAGUUUCAUCCGGUAAAGCGAAUGAUUAGGGGUGUUGGGGACGAAAUGUCCUCAGCCUAUUCUCAAACUUUAAAUGGGUGAGGUACCGGGCUUGCUUCAUUGAAGCCCCGGACACGAAUCGGAGUGCUUAGUGGGCCAAUUUUGGUAAGCAGAAUGG